AUGGCGGCAGCCGCGCCCGGGUCGGCUCUCCGGCGGCUCUACCUCUCCGCCUACAACUGGGUGGUCUUCUUCGGAUGGGCGCAGGUGCUAUGCUACGCGGCCUCGGCGCUGCUGGAGAGCGGCCACGAGGCCGUCUACGCCGCCGUCGAGCGGCCGCUGCAGUUCGCGCAGACCGCAGCCUUCAUGGAGAUUCUCCAUUCGAUUUUAGGAUUCGUGAGGUCUCCGAUCUCGACAACUCUUCCACAGAUCACUGGAAGAUUGUACAUCACAUGGGGAAUCUUGUGGAGCUUUCGUGAGGCACAAUCUCACAUUCUUGUAACUUCAUUGAUCAUAAGCUGGUCCAUCACUGAGAUCAUCAGAUAUUCUUUCUUUGGAAUGAAGGAGACAUUUGGGUUUGCACCUUACUGGCUCCUAUGGCUUAGAUAUAGCACCUUUCUGGUGUUCUAUCCUAUCGGUCUGUUAAGUGAGGUUGGCCUAAUCUUUAUUGCCAUUCCUUCUAUGAAGACAUCAUGGAAAUGCCGCCUUAUGAUGCCUAAUAAAUGGAAUUUCUCCUUCGACUACCGCUAUGAAUUGGCUCUCACCAUGGCUCUAUAUGUUCCAGGGUUUCCCUACUUGUUCCGUUAUAUGGUGGCUAAGCGGAAGAAGGUCUUGUCAGCGAAGAAAACUGCAUGA
rnacentral:rRNA from 1 species